rnacentral:lncRNA from 1 species
GUAGUGCGAGGGGUUGCGCGAUCUGUUCUACCGUUUGUUCAAUUCAGCCACGCCCCCAACUGGAGCUUUCUUUAACUGACACCGCCCCCUUUAUAGAGUUUAUUAGCAUAGACCCGCCCCCCGUGUCGAGUUUUCUCGCUCAGUAGAGCGCGGGGCUGCGCUGUGGGUCGCGCGCUCUGUGCUGAGGCGGCAGAUUGAGGCGUUAGCUUAGCAGCUAAAAGAAGCAGCUCCACAGAAAAUCUCUGCAGGACUCAAAAACACACCAGAAGCAGCAGCAGAAGAUGAUAAUCUCCAUAAACCUCAACUCACCUGCACUGCAGCUCAUCUGGAUAGUUUAAUCCACUGCUUUUCUCCUAAAAAUGAGGAGAUAAUCUCCCUGUUUGAGCAUUUAGUCUUCUUAGCACGCUAACCUUCAGUUAAACUCACUAAACGAUCAAACCGCUGGAUAAAUCUGUGUAAAGUGGAUUUAACUGGACUGGAAGUUGAUAUAAGAUACUAAAACCAGACUUUACUCUCUAAUUUACCUUGUUUAGUCAGGUUUUACUAGAUUCUGUGGUAUUAAAAUGUAGUUUUUGUGGUUUUUAUCCUUUAAUCAUGGGGAAUGUUAGCAUAACGACUGACAGUGAGCUAACAUAGAACAUUACAGAGGCAUGAAAUCUGCUCAUGUUCAGAGCAGAACAGAAGUGAAGGACAGUAUGACAGAGGACUUCGGCAUCUUCUGAUAUCAGCUGUGUUUAAAGAGUGAUGCUGCCAUGUCUCCUCAAAGAGCAGCAAAUAUAACAGCAGCUGUGAUCUUCAUUUUGUUGGCAGCAGGCCACCAGAUACCAGCUUCAUCUGGACAAACAGUCCUGCAGGGGAUGGUGCAUCAGCAGGUUGUAGGGCAGAAAGUGGUGAAACUGACCUGUAGCUCCUCCUGCAGUGGAAACUGUUACUACGACUGGUACAGUCGUUACUGGCUGAGCACUUACUUGGGCUGUUCAUCUAUUGCUGAAGUUUGGAUCGACUCCACCAGUUCAUCUAAUGAGGACAGAUACUCCUGUUGGGUCAAGAACGACAAGUCUCCUUUAGACUGUAAGUACAAAGUUAGUCUGUCUCUCACUAAAGAUAAUCAUUUAGGAUGUUUAGAACCAGGAAAUCAGGUUUUAUGGGAUGGCUGGGUUAGGCUUGGGCAGAAUGUUCACCGGAUUAGGUCGGGCUGGAUGCACAAUUGGCCUUGCUCCCUUCAGGUGGGUAGAUGGCGCUCUCUCCCCAUCACCCUAAAGGUGGCGCCGGAUGGCACGAGGCGUCUGUGAGCGGAAGUAUCGGAACCUAGCCCCUGUGCUUUCCUCCGAUCGUGCUAGCCGCUCAGGCAAUGAUUCAUCAGCAGUAGCUCGAAAAAAAACUAAUUUUGACAGUAUUUAACUAAAUUUUUAUUAAUA